AGGCAUAAAAUGCAGGCUUGUCAAUUGUCAUAGUCAAACACGCAGAUGUUAAACUUCUUUCAGAUCUGGUAAACCAAGGAUUUUCUUCCAGACCAUAGAAAGUAUAUAAGAUUGCUGGGAAGAAUCUUCAGGCUAUGUUUUUCAUAGCCAUGAGUGCCAAAAAUGUAAAUACAUGGGAUGCAUCAUGUAUGCCAGGAAAAGGUGAUAUGAUAGACACAAAUCCAAUGGAAGUUACCUGCACUUAAUGACCGAGUUAUGA
rnacentral:misc_RNA from 1 species